rnacentral:rRNA from 1 species
CCCGUCACACCAUGAGAGCUGGUUCUGCCAGAAGUCGCUGUGCUAACUCGUAGGCAGGCGCCCAAGGCAGGGCUAGUGAUUGGGGUG